rnacentral:rRNA from 1 species
ACGACUGCUAAUACCGGAUGAUGACGUAAGUCCAAAGAUUUAUCGCCGAGGGAUGAGCCCGCGUAAGAUUAGCUAGUUGGUGUGGUAAAGGCGCACCAAGGCGACGAUCUUUAGCUGGUCUGAGAGGAUGAUCAGCCACACUGGGACUGAGACACGGCCCAGACUCCUACGGGAGGCAGCAGUGGGGAAUAUUGGACAAUGGGCGAAAGCCUGAUCCAGCAAUGCCGCGUGAGUGAUGAAGGCCUUAGGGUUGUAAAGCUCUUUUACCCGGGAUGAUAAUGACAGUACCGGGAGAAUAAGCUCCGGCUAACUCCGUGCCAGCAGCCGCGGUAAUACGGAGGGAGCUAGCGUUAUUCGGAAUUACUGGGCGUAAAGCGCACGUAGGCGGCUUUGUAAGUUAGAGGUGAAAGCCUGGAGCUCAACUCCAGAAUUGCCUUUAAGACUGCAUCGCUUGAAUCCAGGAGAGGUGAGUGGAAUUCCGAGUGUAGAGGUGAAAUUCG